rnacentral:rRNA from 1 species
GAUGAACGCUGGCUGUGUGCCUAAUACAUGCAUGUCGAGCGAAGUUCUUCGGAACUUAGCGGCAAAUGGGUGAGUAACACGUACUCAACGUACCUCUUAGAUUGGGAUAGCAGUUGGAAACAACUAUUAAUAACAAAUACGUAUAAUUUUCGCAUGAAGAUUAUAUAAAAGUAGCGUUUGCUACACUAAGAGAGCGGGGUGCGUAACAUUAGUUAGUUGGUGAGGUAAUGGCUCACCAAGACGAUGAUGUUUAGCGGGGUUGAGAGACUGGACCGCCACACUGGGACUGAGAUACGGCCCAGACUCCUACGGGAGGCAGCAGUAGGGAAUAUUCCACAAUGAACGAAAGUUUGAUGGAGCGACACAGCGUGCAGGAUGAAGGCCCUAUGGGUUGUAAACUGCUGUGGUAAGAGAAGAAAAAACCGAGGAGGAAAUGCCUUGGUCUUGACGGUAUCUUAUUAGAAAGCAACGGCUAACUAUGUGCCAGCAGCCGCGGUAAUACAUAGGUUGCAAGCGUUAUCCGGAAUUAUUGGGCGUAAAGCGUCUGUAGGYUGUUUGUUAAGUCUGAUGUUAAAUUUUGGGGCUCAACCCCAACACGCAUUGGAUACUGGCAUACUAGAGUUAUGUAGAGGUUAAUGGAAUUCCUUGUGAAGCGGUGGAAUGCGUAGAUAUAAGGAAGAACACCAAUAUGGCGAAGGCAGUUAACUGGGCAUACACUGACACUGAGAGACGAAAGCGUGGGGAGCAAACAGGAUUAGAUACCCUGGUAGUCCACGCCCUAAACGAUGAUCAUUAGCUGAUGGGGAACUCAUCGGCGCACGUAACGCAUUAAAUGAUCCGCCUGAGUAGUACGUUCGCAAGAAUAAAACUUAAAGGAAUUGACGGGGAUCCGCACAAGCGGUGGAGCAUGUGGUUUAAUUUGAAGAUACGCGUAGAACCUUACCCACUCUUGACAUCUUCUGCAAAGCUAUAGAGAUAUAGUGGAGGUUAACAGAAUGACAGAUGGUGCAUGGUUGUCGUCAGCUCGUGUCGUGAGAUGUUCGGUUAAGUCCUGCAACGAGCGCAACCCUUGUCCUUAGUUACUAACAUUAAGUUGAGCACUCUAAGGAGACUGCCCGAGUAAUUGGGAGGAAGGUGGGGACGACGUCAAAUCAUCAUGCCUCUUACGAGUGGGGCAACACACGUGCUACAAUGGUCGGUACAAAGAGAAGCAAACUGGUGACAGGGAGCAAACCUCAAAAAACCGAUCUCAGUUCGGAUUGUAGUCUGCAACUCGACUACAUGAAGUCGGAAUCGCUAGUAAUCGUAGAUCAGCUACGCUACGGUGAAUACGUUCUCGGGUCUUGUACACACCGCCCGUCAAACCAUGGGAGCUGGUAAUGCCCGAAGUCGGUUUAUAAACAAACUGCCUAAGGCAGGACUGGUGACUGGGGU